rnacentral:rRNA from 1 species
GACGAACGCUGGCGGCGUGCUUAACACAUGCAAGUCGAACGAUGAAGCCGGAGCUUGCUCUGGUGAAUUAGUGGCGAACGGGUGAGUAACACGUGAGUAACCUGCCCUUGACUCUGGGAUAACUGCGGGAAACUGUAGCUAAUACCGGAUACGACCCUCGGAGGCAUCUCCUGGGGGUGGAAAGAAUUUCGGUCAAGGAUGGACUCGCGGCCUAUCAGCUAGUUGGUGAGGUAAAGGCUCACCAAGGCGACGACGGGUAGCCGGCCUGAGAGGGUGACCGGCCACACUGGGAAUGAGACACGGCCCAGACUCCUACGGGAGGCAGCAGUGGGGAAUAUUGCACAAUGGGCGCAAGCCUGAUGCAGCAACGCCGCGUGAGGGAUGACGGCCUUCGGGUUGUAAACCUCUUUUAGCAAGGAAGAAGCGAAAGUGACGGUACCUGCAGAAAAAGCACCGGCUAACUACGUGCCAGCCGCCGCAGUAA